rnacentral:rRNA from 1 species
UACGUAGGGUGCAAGCGUUGUCCGGAAUUAUUGGGCGUAAAGGGCGCGUAGGCGGCUUUAUAAGUCGGGGGUGAAAGCCUGUGGCUCAACCACAGAAUUGCCUUCGAUACUGUAGAGCUUGAGACCGGAAGAGGUAAGUGGAACUGCGAGUGUAGAGGGUGAAAAUUCGUAGAUAUUCGCAAGAACACCAGUGGCGAAGGCGGCUUACUGGUCCGGUUCUGACGCUGAGGCGCGAAAGCGUGGGGAGCGAACAGG